UUGUUUACAGAGCGUCUCUGUCUUGGGGGAGGGGUGGUGGUGAGGGGCCCCUUGGAGCUGGGAGAGAAGGGUGUGAGCUGCUAGUCCUGGUUGUGCCAGCUGUGCGCAAAGUCACUGCCCUCAGGCCAAGGGCCGGGCUGGGAAUGCAAAUGAGGAUGUGGUUUGAGAGGUUUUGGGGGAUGAGCAGCUUCUUAGUUAGGGACCAGUCUGCAUCAGGAGGCCUUUAGCCUAGAGUGCAAGGGGCAGGUUCCUAUUUGAGACUCCUACAGAAGUCCCCAAACAGCUUCCCUGCCAAGGGUCAGGUGGGGCAGACUGACCUGCCUAUCCCCUUCUCCAGGCUGACCCAUGAGGCAAGCACAGGCCGCUUUUAUCUCCCUUCUUACCCACCAAGCUAUGUGCUCAUUGAUUAUUUAAAAAUAUGUUUUUAUUGAUUUUAGAGGAAGGGAGAAGGGGAAGAGAUAGAAACAUAAAUGAUGAGAGAAUCAUUGAUCAGCUGCCUCCUGCACACCCCCUCCUAGGGACUGAGCCUGCAACCCAGGCAUGUGCCCUGACCAUGACCUCCUGGUUCAUGAGUCGAUGUUCAACCACUGAGCCACACCAGCUGGGCUUGAUUUUUUUUUUUUUUAAUCCUAUGGGGGGAAAUUCCUCAGAAUUGAGUGUGUGUGGGGAAAAAAAAUGGAGUGUGUUUUAUUUUUAACAUUUUAUUAGGGAAAAAUUUAAACCUGUUAAAAAUAAUACAUGUUGAACCUUUAAGUACCAAUUACCCAGGUUCGGCAGGAAACCCACCUAUGUCAUUUCUAUGUACACCCAGCACCGACAACUGAACUGUUUCGGAGGCAAGUCUCAGGUGUAGCGUUGCCCCUGUGUACACCCAGCAUGCAUCUCUAAGAGAGAAGCGUAUUUAUUUAUUUAUUUUUAUAUAUUUUUUAAAAUAUGUUGUAUUGAUUUUUUUACAGAGAAGAAGGGAGAGGGAUAUAGAGUUAGAAAUAUCGAUGGGAGAGAAACAUUGAUCAGCUGCCUCCUGCACACCUCCUACUGGGGAUGUGCCCACAACCAAGGUACAUGCCCUUGACCAGAAUCGAACCUGGGACCUUUGAGUCCGCAGGCUGAUGCUCUAUCCACUGAGCCAAACUGGUUAGGGCGAGAUAAGGGUAUUUAAAACAUUAUUACUAUUGCUACUCCUGGAAAAGUGGGCAGUAAUUCCUUCCUAUGAAAUCCCUAGUUUCAGUCCAGUUUCCUAAUUGUCUCCUGAGUAAGCUUUGUGUUGAUAGUCUCCUUGAAGGGGGAUGUAGAUGAGGUUCACGUGUUGCUUUUGGUUGACGUGUAAGGUUUUCUGAGUACCCUUCUUGUUUUUUCUUAGAAAUUUCUUGUUGAAGAAAUUGGGUCUCCUAGAGUUUCCCACUAUCUGGGUCUUACUGAUUACAUCCUUUCGGUAUCUUACAUGUUACUCCGUCUCCUCUGUUUCCAUUAAGUUGAUCAUUUUAUCUACAGGCUUGAUCAGAUUCAGGUUCAGUUGGGGUGGGGGUGGGGUGGGGACCAGAGCCUCAGACAUGGUGUCCACCGGGAAACAUGGUGUUCAGUUGCCUUUUCUUUUGUAUGGGUCCUUAGAUCUGUUUUUUUCACUAGGUGACUUUCUGCUUUUGACAUUCCUUCAUUCAUAAGCUGGAAUCCUACUAUAAAGAAAAACUUUUCCUCAUUAACUACGUGCUUAUCCUGAGGUAUACUUUAUAUAGGAAAAGCAGAUUAAAUCCUUCCAUUUAUUAGAGAUGUAUUUGGAAUAAUGAGUUGGUUUCUUGACAUCCUCCAAACGUUUCCAGUGAGUUUUUUAGCAUAAGUAUUAAUCCAUUAAUUUAAACAUAUUUGACAUGUUUCCGUUCAUUGCAGUUGUCUUUAUUGAUGCUCAAAUUAUCACACCUUUGCCAGUAGGAGACUUUUAAAAUAAGCUCCUGAGUCCCUUGGACACAGUCACAAUAGUCUAAGCGAUAUGUCUUACUUUCUGGAAAGAAGUCCACGGUCAUGUAUGUUUCCGGCUCCAGAUGUGAACUUAACCAUUCCUCUGAGGCAGGGGCUGCAAACCUUUCCAGUUAAAGGCCCAAAUAGUAAAUACGUUAGGUCUUGCAGGCCACAUACUCUGUCACAACUGUCGUGGCAUGACAGCAGCCAUAAUAGUAAAUGAAUGAGUAUGGCUGUAUUCCAAUAAAACUGUUUAUGGUCCCUGA